rnacentral:rRNA from 1 species
ACCUUACCCGGAUUUGACAUCGGAUGAUAGCCGGGCUAAAGACUCUGCUUGACUAGUUCAGAGGAGGUGCGUGGCCUGGNUGUGUUCGGAUUGUGAAGCAUCGUGUUAAGUCAUGUAACGAUAAGAACCCAACCCAUCGUUUGCCAUGCUGAUCUCCGGAUUGAGGGGGACACUGGUGGGACCGCCUCUGCUAAAGGGGAGGAAGGAAUGGGCAACGGUAGGACANCAUGCCCCGAAUUAUCCGGGCUACACGCGGACUACAAUGGAUGGGACAAUGGGUUUCGACACCGAAAGGUGAAGAUAAUCUCCUAACCCCACCCGUACNGCGGAUUGUCGGCUGCACCUCUCCCGCAUGANGCUGGAAUCCGUAAUAAUCGCGUCUCACGGNGGCGCGGAGAAUAUGUCCCUGCUCNUUCNNCCCCCCNCCC